CAUAUGAGAAUACAGGCCCGGGCGAGAUUCGCAAAUCGGGUCCUUCAGCAGGAUAGAGAGAUCUCCGGGAGAGGAGGACCCGCUGAGUCCCUUGUACCCGCUGUCACCUCUCUCUACAUCCAGGGGGCGCGUCCACUCACUCGGCAACCACAUCAGUCAGUCCUAAAGCUCGGGACUAGGUGCUUGCGGUUUAAGCAGCAGCCAUGCCAAGCCAGGUGAAGGCAGCGGGGCAAGGAGGUGCAGAAGACCUGGAAGACAUGAUCUACCAACCUGCAGAACCCCUGCAAGACCAGGCACAUGUGCCAGACCUAAGAACAUACAAAGAUCUGUAUGAGAAGUCCAUCCACAGUCCACAAGAGUUCUGGAUGGAGGUCGCCUCAGAGUUUUAUUGGAAGUCGCCCCCCACCGGGAAGGUGCUGGAUUAUAACUUUGAUCUCACCAAAGGCAAAAUAUUUGUGGAGUUCAUGAAAGGGGCCAAGACCAACGUCUGCUACAAUGUCGUGGACAGAAACGUCUUGGAGAAGAACCUUGGGGAUAAGAUCGCAUAUUUCUGGGAAGGCAAUUCACCCGCUGAUUCUUCAGUGAUCUCCUAUGCCGAGUUACUCAAACAAGUUUGCAAGUUUGCAAAUGUCUUAAGGAAUUUAGGAGUGAAGAAAGGAGACAGGGUGGCCAUCUAUUUGCCAAUGAUCCCAGAGCUAGUAUAUGCAAUGCUGGCAUGUGCGAGGAUUGGUGCAGUUCACUCUAUAGUGUUUGCAGGAUUUUCCUCCGAUUCCCUUUGUGAAAGAAUCCUGGACUCGCAGUGUGCUGUCCUUAUUACUGCAGAUGGUGUGUUCAGAGGAGAAAAACUCAUCAACCUGAAACAUAUCGCAGAUGAGGCUAUGCACAAAUGCAAGGAAAAGGCACAUACUGUGAAAAAUUGCAUUGUGGUGAGGCACCUCAGUGGGAGGUUAAACAACCAGAACAAAACAAAGCUUCAGACUGCCUGGAAUCCAGAUACUGACAGGUGGCUGGAUGAGCUGAUGGCGGAGGCGGAUGAUGAGUGUGAACCUGAGUGGUUGGAUUCAGAAGAUCCUCUUUUCAUCCUUUAUACCAGUGGCUCCACUGGAAAGCCAAAGGGUGUAUUGCACACAGUUGCAGGAUACCUACUCUACACUGCUCUAACCUUCAAGUACGUGUUUGACUACCACGAAGAUGACGUGUACUGGAGCACAGCUGACAUUGGAUGGAUCACAGGUCAUUCCUACAUUACCUAUGGGCCAUUGGCUAAUGGGGCCACCAGUGUGAUGUUUGAAGGCAUUCCUACCUAUCCACAUGUGGGGAGAUUUUGGGAAAUUAUUGAAAAGUACAAAGUGAACCAGUUUUAUACUGCACCCACAGCCAUACGCUUACUGAUGAAAUACGGGAAUGAGGUCAUUCAUAAGUACGAUCUGAAUUCUUUGAAAAUUCUGGGUACUGUAGGAGAGCCCAUAAAUGCAGAAGCAUGGUUGUGGUACUAUAACGUUAUCGGCAGUCAGCGAUGUCCCAUUGUUGACACUUUUUGGCAGACAGAAACAGGAGGUCAUGUUAUAACCCCUUUGCCAGCAGCUACACCUCUGAAACCCGGAUCUGCUACGUUUCCAUUCUUUGGCGUGGUUCCUGCAGUACUGAAUGAGCAUGGAGAGGAGCUAGAAGGAGAAGCUGAAGGCUACCUAGUCUUCAAGCAGCCAUGGCCAUCUAUUAUGAGGACCUUGUAUGGCAACCAUGAACGCUUUGAAAACACAUAUUUCAGAAAGUUCCCUGGGUAUUAUGUUGCUGGAGAUGGAUGCAGGCGUGAUAAGGACGGAUACAUCUGGAUUACAGGUCGCAUUGAUGACAUGCUGAAUGUUUCAGGUCACCUGCUAAGCACAGCGGAGGUGGAGUCUGCCCUGGCGGAGCACCCUGCAGUAGUGGAGGCGGCGGUGGUCAGCCGUCCGCACACUGUGAAAGGGGAAUGUCUUUACUGCUUUGUAAUCUUAAAAGAUGGGAAGAAGUUUACAGAGCUGAUUGCAGACGAACUUAAAAAACAAGUUCGGGAGAAAAUAGGACCAAUAGCAACUCCUGAUUUUAUACAGAAUGCUCCGGGAUUGCCAAAGACACGAUCAGGUAAAAUUAUGCGGAGAGUCCUGAGGCAGAUUGCCCGGAAUGAGAAGGAUUUGGGAGAUAUUUCGACUCUUGCUGACCCAAGUAUAGUUGAAGUUUUGUUCAGCCAGCGAUGUGAAGCAGCAGCUUGAGGGAUCUUCAUCACCAUUCUGUAUAUGACAAUCUUUUUUUAUUGAUGUUUUUAUGGAGUUACUACAUUAAAAUAUAUUUUGAAUAUAUAAACUUUAUAGUUUACAUAUUUAAAAUAUAUAAUCUAAAAAUCAAGAUCCGUCCAUGAAGAAAAAUCCAGUUUUGCCUCUUUGGGCCAUUAUAUUACUAAAAUUGGCUCAUUAUGGUUUUCUUACAUAAAACACUGUCUGGAUCAGAUAAUCUGUUUUAAUAAUCCAGCAAUGUGAUCAUUAAUAACUCUGUAAUAUAAUCAUAUUGUGAUUUCUUAAGGCAGCGAUUUUAACAUUUCUAGGCUUUUACUUUAAGGAGAAAUCCAUCAAAUCAAACAUUAAUCCCCUAUCCACAGCUGAUAGUAGGCGGUCUGACUGCUGGGACCCCCAUGAUUUCCGUAACAGGACCCGGCACUCAGAGAGGAACGCGUUCUGCAGAUUUCUAUGGGAGCGCCAAAGAGAUUCAAGUACAGAACUUGGGCAUCAUCGGCGCUCCCAUAGAAAUGAAUGGAGGGUCUACUGGUAGACAACACGUGCUCCUCACUGAAAUCACUCAGAUGGUAUGCACUCCAUUCAUUUCUAUGGGAGAGCCAAAGAGAUUCAAGUAUAGAACUUGGGCAUCAUCGGCGCUCCCAUAGAAAUGAAUGGAGCGUCUACUGGUAGAAAAAAACAAAACUAAAUUGACCCGCUAAGGGGCACAAAAGGCCAACUUCAACUAUUAUCCAAACCCUAGGGCCGUAGUUUGAGAGUGGAUUAUAGGUUGCUGCAGAACCUUUUAGCGUGGAGGUCUUUAGAUCCCACUUGUACUGAAAUUAUCCCCCUCAACACAUUAUAUUUUUAAAUCAGGUUUUUUCUGGGAUUACCUUUUAUUCAUUGAACAUAAUAAUAGUUAUAUUUUAUAAGGGGAAUAAUAAGAGGUGUUUUGCACCCUGGGCUACGGCCCUAGGGUUUGGAUAAUACUGGUAGACAACACGCGCUCCUCACUGAGAUGACUCAGAUGGUAUGCACUCCAUUCAUUUCUAUGGGAGCAACAAAGAGAUUUGAGUACAGAACUUGGGCAUCAUCCGCGCUCCCAUAGAAAUGAAUGGAGCAUCUACUGGUAGACAACACGUGCUUCUCACUGAGAGAGUAGGGGUCCCGUCCCAGAGAUCGAGAGGGUCCAAGCUGUUGGACCCUCCACCAUUAGCUACUUAUCCUCUAUCCUGUGAAUAAUGGAUCAAUUAAUUUUUGCUGGAGUUCUCCUUUAAAACCAACAUAUAUGUUUUUUAUUUUUCUAGGUUAAACAACUCACGACAAUAAAUGCUGGUUGUAAUAUAUGAAAUGCCUUAAAAUAGCUGCAUUAAUCUAUGUACAUUUAAUAAAUGUGAAUGUAAAAUAAUAUAAAAAUGUUAACUAUACUUACUCAGCAUUUGGCCUGUCAGUCCCAUCCAUUAUACAUUUAGAUCACUAUAGGUCAUCACCAGGUCCAAUGUGUGCAUGCAAAAAUACACAACUUUAGGACCCCGGCCUUCCUCCGAGAAGCAUUGUCUUUUGUUUACUUCAGGUAAUUAUAUCAUUGAAUAAGAAAAUAUCAACAAUUCUGGAUUUAUUGAAUGAAUAUAAAACAAAUUUAUCAAAUUUGUCCUGGAUUCUUUAUCAACCAAUCAGCAUUAUAACUUUUUUUGGUUGGAGAAAUCCGCAGCACUAGUCUAAGGCAUACCUUCGAAAUUUUUCGUUUUAUUUCCUUCUAUAUUCCAGUUUUAGAUGCAGAGAAGCUUCAUCUCACACAUUUACUGGCAUGGGGUAUACAUUUCCAUGCAUCUGCUGUGUGUGAAUGUAUCUUAAAGGGGUACUACCAUGCUGACAACUUAUCCCCUAUCUCGCACGCAGUACCCCGCUCUCAUCAGGCCCCAGAGCAAACAUCCGCUCCGGGUCUGAUGACGGGGCCGAUGAUCGUGAAGUCACAGCUCCGCCCCGUGUGACGUCACGCUCCGCCCCGUGUGACGUCACGCUCCGCCCCUCAAUGCAAGUCUAUGGCAUGCGGCGAGACAGCUGUCUCGCCCCCUGCCAUAGACUUACAUUGAGGGGCGGAGCGUGACGUCACACGGGGGCGGAGACAUGACAUCAAGAUACUCCGGCCCCGUGAUCGGCAGUCAUCAGAGCCGGAGCGAACAUCGCUCCGGGGUCUGAUGAGAGCGGGGUGCUGUGUACGAGAUCGCGGGGGUCCUCAGUGGCGGGACCCCGCGCGAUCAGCCAACUUAUCCCCUAUCCUUUAGAUAGGGGAUAAGUUGUCAGCAUGGAAGUACCCCUUUAACAGACGUCUCAUGAAAGCAGAAUUCUCUCUUCUCCUAUAAAAAUAAAUAAAUAUAUAUAUAUAUAUAUAUAUAUAUAUAUAUAUAUAUAUAUAUGCGAAGUAAGAUUUAUGUACAGUAGUCCCUCAAGUUAAAUAUGAAUUGGUUCCAGGAUGACCAUUGUAUGUUGAAACCAUUGUAUGUUGAGACCAGAACUCUAUGGAAACCUGGUAAUUGGUUCUAAAGGCACCAAAAUAUCAUCCAAAAAUAGGAAAAAGUGAGGAUUAAAGAAAAAUAAGUAGAUAACUAAUACAGAUAAAGCAAAUCCUUACAUAUAAAAGUAAGAAAGAUCUGCUGGGAGCUGUAAAUCACUGUCUAGGCACCCUAGUUGGGAAACACUGGUCUAUGUAGAGGAAAGGAGAUUCUUCAGGGUCCUGUACAGUACACGCAAUGGGGGAGAUUUAUCAAAACAUGUGCAAAGGAAAAGCUUCCCCAUAGCAACCAAUCAGAUUUCUUCCUUCAUUUUUUAAAAGGCCUCUGAAAAAUGAAAGUAGCAAUCUGAUUGGUUGCUAUGGGCAACUCAGCAACCUCUGGACAGGUUUGGAUAAAUCUCCCCCAAUGUCCUAAAAAAGUAACAUGGAGUCGCCCUCACCUGGUGUCCAAAGGAGCAGGUAACCCUGGUACAGGUAAAGUAUACAGAACAUGUAAUACCUCCCUGUACUGUAGGGGGCGCUACCAAACACCAGUCAGUGCAUACGCUUCAGUAAUACAGGGGUUUUACCAGUGAAUGCCCAUUCUGAUUGGUCAGUUCUUCCAGCCAUUGACAGGUUAUGCAGAUCUAAAUUGUCCAUACAUUGUAUCAAAGAAAAGAUCAUUGUAUGUUGAGGCCAUUGUAAGUUGAGGGAUCACUGUAGAUCACAUAGGGAAGCUUUGUCCAUCUUUAAAAACACAUACAUUACAUUAUUUUAAAAUGUCCUGCUGCCCAGCUCUGGGAGACGGUUGGGUUGCAACCAUAAAACAACACACUGUAAGUUUUGUCCUAUUGGUUCCGGUGGGAUUCUUUAAUAAUAUGUUGGUUUCUACAUUAUACAGCUGCCAUGAUGCUGUCAUUUUAAGCAACAAAGUAAAAGAUAUGACAUUCAGGAAAGCUAUAAAUGACAUAUAUUUGUCUGGGUUUAAAGGGGUACUCCGGUGAAAAACUUUUUUUUUUUUUUUUUUAAAUCAACUGU